ACUGGCUCAGGAUGAACGCUGGCGGCGUGCUUAACACAUGCAAGUCGAACGAGGCUCAUCUGUGGAAGUUUUCGGAUGGAAACGGAUGUGACCGAGUGGCGGACGGGUGAGUAACGCGUGGGGAACCUGCCCCAUUCCGGGGGAUACCAGUUGGAAACGACUGUUAAUACCGCAUAAGCGCACGGGAAGGCAUCUUCCAGUGUGAAAAACUGAGGUGGAAUGGGAUGGCCCCGCGUCUGAUUAGCCAGUUGGCAGGGUAACGGCCUACCAAAGCGACGAUCAGUAGCCGGCCUGAGAGGGCGACCGGCCACAUUGGGACCGAGACACGGCCCAAACUCCUACGGGAGGCAGCAGUGGGGAAUAUUGCACAAUGGGGGGAACCCUGAUGCAGCCGACGCCGCGUGAGUGAGGAAGUAUUUCGGUAUGUAAAGCUCUAUCAGCAGGGAAGAAGAUGACGGUACCUGCACAAGAAGCCCCGGCUAACUACGUGCCAGCCGCUGC
rnacentral:rRNA from 1 species